ACGUAGGGUGGCCCGAGAACGCGCCUGCCAAUGGCGGGACGGCGAGAGACGGCGAGAGCCAACGGGAGCGGAGUGAGAGGUUCUCUGGCCAAUGGGCGGUCAGUGAGCGGAGACAGGGGCCAAUGGCGGCGCCGCGUCCCACCGCUGGGGAGAGAUGGUCAAGUGUGGGAGGCGAGUUGGUCCCUGCUUGGGAGGCUGUCGGGUUGCCUAGCAACCACAGCCAAGGCUUCACCUGGAAAAUGUUUGAAAUACUUGAUUUGAAUUCAAUCUUGACGUUUUCUAGCUUCCUGAGCAGCAAAGUGCGCCUCCAUCACAAGUUAUUGCACACUCCUUCACCCAGAUUUUCUGAAUUUAGACAGUCUCUGUGAAGUGCAAGAAGCCUCCGCCUCCACCAAGGAGAACAGCUUUUCAGUUUGUUUCUGGAAGCUCCUUAAGUUCCGCUGGAAGAGUGUCAACAAGCCGGCUGUUACCUCAGCCUGGAGAAAGCACACUGAUCAUUUAUAGAUCAGAAACACAGGACUUGUUUCCAGGCAGAAAAUGGAGGGGAAGAGUCUCGUUGGAAUGACAGAUAGGCCUAUGUCGGUGAUGUGGAAGGACUUGGGAAGACCAGUUGGUGUUUCCCAGAGCAGAGCAUCUAAACCAGGCUUGGUCAGUUUGGUUCAGCAGUGUAGGUGCGAUGCAAACACCCAGCUGACCCAAGUUGCUAUCGACUAUCUACGACUUUUCAACUCUCCAACAAUUACCAAUGACAUUUAUUAAAAUUCGAUAAAAUACUGGUAGAAUUUCAAUCGAGUAUACUUUAUUAGUCUUAGAGGGCUAUUUAAGGAUAGAUUUAGGGAGAGUCAUGGUUUCAGGGGGUUCAGCCCAUGACUGAUGGGCUCCAAGCACUUGAUGAGAACACCAUGUCUGUGGGAAUAUGUGCUGGGAGGGGUUCUUCCCAUUGUGAUGGACAGGACGCAGGACAUCCACCAGUGAUGGGAAGGAAGGGACGGGGGACAAAGUCAGACCCUAGUGACCCACUUCCUCCCACCCCACAAGGCUGGAUCCCCAGCAGGCCCCACCUUCUAGAGUUUAUCGACCCUCCCAGCAUAGUGUCACCAGCCGCUGAGCAGUCAUUUAAGUAAUAAGCCUGUGGGAGACAGGUUAUACUCAAACCCCAGGUCAGAGAUUUUCCAAAUGGUAAGAACCUGAAGUGCCUCUUAGAAGGAGGCACGUUACAGUAUGUGCCCUGGACGACCGCAGA